rnacentral:misc_RNA from 1 species
AACAUCGCGCACCUGCGGGAACCUGCGGAAGGAUCAUACUGAGUCACGUGCUCAAACAACCCUUCUGUGGACCUGAAAUAAAACCGUUGCCUCGGCGGGCGGUCCCCCCCAAACCAACCCCACGUGGUGGGUUAGGGGAGACCAGACAGUCCGGUACGCUUAAGGCGUCCGGCGCCAGCCGCUGGCCCCAAACAAUUAAACUCUAGUAAUCUUUACCUUCUGAGUUUCAAUAUUUAAAAA